AAACUGCCCCAGCAAGAACAGCACAGAUUUUACCUCAUCUCUAAAAGUCAAUAUUUGCUUCUAUUACAAGACACCCGAGGUAUUCAACCAGUGUUUUCAACAGUGCAUAUUCAUGAUUGAUGAUCCGGAGCAUUUGGGAGUUCCAUGCCGCUUGGUGUAUGUUGCUAAACUCUCAUUCUGCCAGAACACAGGGACAUAAGGUCUGGUGUCUUAAAAUAGCAAGUUCCUCAAGUUCUAUUCCCAGAUGAUGAUUUGAUUGGUGGCUUUGUCCCAGCAUCUGCCAAUGCCAGUCUACAAAGGACAAGCGAUCAUUGUUUUAAG